rnacentral:lncRNA from 1 species
AAAGGUGAAGAUAAAUUAGUAGAAGAACAUAUAGAAAUACUAUAUAAUAUUAUAGAAAAUAUGGAACAUAUAGAUGACACCACUACCUUAGUAUCUACUGAAGAUUGCCUAAGUGAUGGUUAAAAUGGAAGCAAUAAAUAAUAAAAUGAAAAUAAUAAAUAAUAAUAUUUUGGAAUCAAAUAAAGUAACAUUAGAACAGAUAAAAGAAAUAAGAAAAAG